rnacentral:rRNA from 1 species
GCAGAACGCGAAGAACCUUACCCACCUUUGACAUGUACGGAAGUUGCCAGAGAUGGCUUCGUGCUCGAAAGAGAGCCGUAACACAGGUGCUGCAUGGCUGUCGUCAGCUCGUGUCGUGAGAUGUUGGGUUAAGUCCCGCAACGAGCGCAACCCUUGUCAUUAGUUGCUACGAAAGGGCACUCUAAUGAGACUGCCGGUGACAAACCGGAGGAAGGUGGGGAUGACGUCAAGUCCUCAUGGCCCUUAUAGGUGGGGCUACACACGUCAUACAUGGCCGGUACAAAGGGCAGCCAACCCGCGAGGGGGAGCUAAUCCCAUAAAGCCGGUCGUAGUCCGGAUCGCAGUCUGCAACUCGACUGCGUGAAGUCGGAAUCGCUAGUAAUCGUGGAUCAGCAUGUCACGGUGAAUACGUUCCCGGGUCUUGUACACACCG